rnacentral:rRNA from 1 species
CCUACGGGAGGCUGCAGUAGGGAAUCUUCCACAAUGGGCGCAAGCCUGAUGGAGCAACACCGCGUGAGUGAAGAAGGGUUUCGGCUCGUAAAGCUCUGUUGUUGGAGAAGAACGUGCGUGAGAGUAACUGUUCACGCAGUGACGGUAUCCAACCAGAAAGUCACGGCUAACUACGUGCCAGCAGCCGCGGUAAUACGUAGGUGGCAAGCGUUAUCCGGAUUUAUUGGGCGUAAAGCGAGCGCAGGCGGUUGCUUAGGUCUGAUGUGAAAGCCUUCGGCUUAACCGAAGAAGGGCAUCGGAAACCGGGCGACUUGAGUGCAGAAGAGGACAGUGGAACUCCAUGUGUAGCGGUGGAAUGCGUAGAUAUAUGGAAGAACACCAGUGGCGAAGGCGGCUGUCUGGUCUGCAACUGACGCUGAGGCUCGAAAGCAUGGGUAGCGAACAGGAUUAGAUACCCGUGUAGUC